GGGGAAUUUUGCGCAAUGGGGGAAACCCUGACGCAGCAACGCCGCGUGAGUGAUGAAGGCUUUCGGGUCGUAAAGCUCUGUCUAGAGGGAAGAAAUGAUAAUUGGUUAAUACCCGGUUUUCUUGACGGUACCUCUGAAGGAAGCACCGGCUAACUCCGUGCCAGCAGCCGCGGUAAUACGGAGGGUGCAAGCGUUGUUCGGAUUUAUUGGGCGUAAAGCGCGUGUAGGCGGUUUGUUAAGUCUGAUGUGAAAGCCCUGGGCUCAACCUGGGAAGUGCAUUGGAAACUGGCAGACUUGAAUACGGGAGAGGGUAGUGGAAUUCCUAGUGUAGGAGUGAAAUCCGUAGAUAUUAGGAGGAACACCGGUGGCGAAGGCGGCUACCUGGACCGAUAUUGACGCUGAGACGCGAAAGCGUGGGGAGCAAAC
rnacentral:rRNA from 1 species